GAUGGACGCUGGCGGCGUGCCUAAUACAUGCAAGUCGAGCGAACAGAUAAGGAGCUUGCUCCUUUGACGUUAGCGGCGGACGGGUGAGUAACACGUGGGUAACCUAUCUAUAAGACUGGAAUAACUCCGGGAAACCGGGGCUAAUGCCGGAUAAUAUUUAGAACCGCAUGGUUCUAAAGUGAAAGAUGGUUUUACUAUCACUUAUAGAUGGACCCGCGCCGUAUUAGCUAGUUGGUGGGGUAAUGGCUUACCAAGGCAACGAUACGUAGCCGACCUGAGAGGGUGAUCGGCCACACUGGAACUGAGACACGGUCCAGACUCCUACGGGAGGCAGCAGUAGGGAAUCUUCCGCAAUGGGCGAAAGCCUGACGGAGCAACGCCGCGUGAGUGAUGAAGGUCUUCGGAUCGUAAAACUCUGUUAUUAGGGAAGAACAAAUGUGUAAGUAACUGUGCACGUCUUGACGGUACCUAAUCAGAAAGCCACGGCUAACUACGUGCCAGCAGCCGCCGUAA
rnacentral:rRNA from 1 species